UUGAGAUGGGGAAAAGUGUGUAUAGAGUGAAAUGAGUAACACUAGCUCUCAUUGACAUAGAUAAGAAAGAAUGCAUGGUGAAGAGAGAAUCUAUUUCAUGUAAACCCAACAGGGAAUCUAGCUAUCUAAGUAUGGUACUGUAGCAAGUCAUAAAAGGCAGCAAUAUGACGUAAUGGUCAUUUAGCCAAACAAGGAUAAUUAAAAUUACUGCCCAUAUAUGAAUUCUAAACUUUCUUCAAAGAAAUCUUUCACAAAAUGCAGGUCUUAGAAUUCGGACAUGAGCAGUUAUAAAAACCCUGAUUUUUGGGAAAUUACUGUGAUUGUAGGAUGUUACUAAACUCCACGACACUCACUCCUUGAGAUAUUGGCUAUUUUUUAUGCCAUGUCUAUGACUUAAAUCCAACAAGACUUAUUUGAAUUGUUAUGAACUCUAGUAGUUAGUAUGAAGGAUUAGCUAGUGUGAAUUUUAAGUCGUAACUCUCUACGACAAAAUGACUUUACUUUCCAAUUGUACUAUCAAUA